GGCUCCAAUUAGCAGACAAAUCAGAAGUGGCUUGUGGGGCUUUGUGCCUGCUGCAGUCAUGUUUAUCGUCAUCAGAGGAGAGAAUCGAUGUGCCAGGCUGACCUCCAGCUGGUGGAAGUAACUACAGAGCUGCAAAGAGCAGUGGAGAGUCUGCUUUUGAGUCUGGACUUGACCAUGACUCUCCGUGUGAACUUGGGCUUUUCCUUGUCUGUCUCUGGAACCUGAGUUUUUGCAUCAGGAUAUGGAGUCUCUUUCUGGAGCUGUGUGAAGGAGGCAGCUGUCUUAUUGCAGAGCUCACGCUCAACCACAGAACUGAGCUGGGUCUUCCAGGUGCUACUGGUGGAGCUGGAGUAACCCCAUUCACAGUGGUCAGGAGACCCCAUGGACAAGCUCACCCAAAUCCAGGUGCUAAGAUGCCCAGGAUGUCUUCAGUGUCUGGGUUCAUCCUUCCCGCCUGGCACUUCCUCUCAGGACAACCUUCUGUGAUGCAGCCCACUGGGAGAGCUACCAUGACUCACCGCCACCGCCACUCAGAGUCCCUCAACAGUUACCCAUGGGUUGACUGCAGAUUUAUGGUCACCAAUGGAAUCCGGUUGACACCUGUCAGUAUCAGCAGGUAGCCCCAGCCUCUGUCUGUACAGGUGGGAAACCUGAGGACCAGGGAGGAGGAGUGACCGAACUGAGGGACAAUGGUGGGCUUUGGCUCCACAACCAGGUGUCCUGUUGCCCAGUCUAGUGUUUGUUGCAUUCUAUCAAACAAUCUUAGUCAUCGGUUCUGCAAAGUAACAGAAUGCAUCUCACCAAUGUCAGCUUUUACCUCACCUAUCAUGGGAGAGUCUUGGGGGCUGAUGUAAGUGAAAAGGGUGUUGGCAGUGAGGAAUUUCCUCAGGAUGAAGAAAAACUAAUGAGAGCAGAAGUGGAAUACUUUUUGCUGUUGUCUAUUGCAUUCAUUUUAGCUUUUAUUUUCAUGAAAUCCCACCCCCUGCAUUGUUUUCAUUUAUUUUUUGGCUCUUUACCUAAUUUCUUAGGAUGAGUGCUUUGUGCAAUUAUUUUAGGCUUUUCACACACAAAAAAAAUAAUAAAAGCAUUGAAAGCUA
rnacentral:lncRNA from 1 species